GUAGGCGUUUUUUCAGUAAAAUACGUUUUCAGUGGUUAUUUUAGGCUAAAUUGCCCAAAAUACUUUUUUUUUGUUAUUAAGUGACAAAUCAUUUGUCCAUUUGGCUUGAUUAGUCAUUUUCUCUGAUAAUAAUACUCUCAACUCUCUUUAAUAAUACAAAACUAUGGAUAUAUUUAUGCAGAAUUUCGGCAGAUUUGACUUAUGUCUAUCUUAACUAAGUUUUUUCUACCAAAUAGCAAAUAAAUCAAUUUAUUUAUCUUUAAUUGGGUCAAAGUUCUUGAUAAAAAACAUAGUAGCGCAUUUAUUGAUGAGAUGCAUUUGUCUUGCUGUGACGAAGGAAAAAGGCUGAGUGGGCGGGUGUUUGUUGGUUUGGCUUUAUGACUCUGCUUGUCCUUUUAUGCGCAUCACCAUUCCUUACCCUUCUCACCUUCCUUUAUUUAUCAUCUCUUUCCCACCCCUACCCUUCUCAUCUCUCACCAUUUUUUUCUCUCUGAAAACUCCGUUCAAAAGAAGAAUAACAAAGAAAGAGGAAGCUUUUUUCUUUUGCGGGGAAUGUUGUCUGGCUCGAGGCCACUAGAAAACCUCAUAUAUAUAUAUAUGUGUGUGUAUCAUCAUCAUAGUCAACGCAAUGGUUAUUCAUGUUCAUUGUCUUCGUUGACUAGCCACGGUGAUAAAUCAUUCUUGAUCUGGUGUCGUCGGACCAGGCUUCAUUCCCCCCAACUGUGGCUUCCUGUGUUCUAAAAGAGCCGAUCUUUCUUUACACUACAAACUCCCAUCACGAAAAGAUUAAAUGAUCGAGAUGAAGGAGAAGAUAGGUGUAAUGAUGAAGAAUUUUGUUCGACUGUAGUUUAACUCUGUCAAAUACCCAGAAAACAGCAUCCUACCAAAAAGGUUUCUAAUCAUUACUACUCUACGAAAUCUGAAAACUAAUUGGAAAGGGAUUGUGAGUUUGGACUUUGGACUGCUAUAUUUUGUCGGUCUUUUAAACUCUGAUUUUGCCAUCAUGAUGCUUUCAAAAAGAAUCUGGAUGAUGUCUUUUAACUCCUUUUACGCCGAUGGUUUCCCAUUUGACUUUCUUUAAAAUCAUACUUCAUCAUCAUUACCUUAUGAUUGAUACAAUAAUCUUUCUAAACUAGGGUUUUCAUUUUGCAUGCGUAUCUCAGAAUUAAAAAUUUGUAAGAAGACGCAUUAAGGAUUUAAUGUUCUUGAUUCAAUUAUUGAUGUGCUCAGAUUCUUGGAUUCAUGGCCUAUCAAGAAACCUAUAGUCCUAAGUUGGGUAUUUUCUUUACCAAAUCUAGUCGCUAACUUCUUUUUUUUUUCGUUUUGUUGUUUUAUUUAGUAUUAUUUUAAUGGAUUAAGAAAAACCAUGAAUGUCUGUGAACAGCUUGUGUCUUGGGGAAAGUAGAAAAGAGUGAUAUACAGCAGUGUUUUAGAUUUGAAUUCUUUCACUAAUCACUGUUUAUGAACCCUAAAAUAUGCAAUUGCAGUGUACUGUUUUGACUUUUGAUUGAUUUGAUUGCCUUGGAUGCUGCAUGACUUUGUCCUCAUCAUCAACAGUUGGCUCUUAUAACUUGUAACCCAACUCAUUUUUUAAAUAUCUUUUCAAAGUUUUCUUGAAAUUAGGACAUAUUUCAAAUACUGUAAUCAAAGGAAGGACACCCAAUGUUUAAUAUGAAGCCUGCAUUUGUUGGAUAAAAGGGUAGGUCAUCUUGGAUUUGUUGAAUUCAAAGAGUGUGGCCUUUGAAGUGAGUGUAGAAGAAGAUAUGGGUAAAGCAUAUGCAUAGUCUGUGGUCAUAUCUCAUAUGCAUAUAACCUUUUGAGGUUUUCAUGAAAGUAGCAAAAAAGGAAUGAGAUUGUAAUAGAGUAGAAGUUUAAAAGUACAUAAUGAUGUUUCGUGUUUGUGUAUAUGUAUUUCUUGUGACUAAACUAUUUGACUUCAUCUUAUUUUCCUUAUGUUCAUUAAUCAUAAUUAUAUAUGUUACAAUUUUUUUUAAAA